UACACUGUUUUGGGGGGGUCUUAUUUAAAAUGCUGGUUCUGAUUCAUGAAGCCAGAGGUGAGGCCAGAAAGUCUGCAUUUCUAACCAGCUCCCAGGGGACACCACU
rnacentral:pre_miRNA from 1 species